CCUGAUGCAGCGACGCCGCGUGAGGGAUGACGGCCUUCGGGUUGUAAACCUCUUUCGACAGGGACGAAGCGCAAGUGACGGUACCUGUAGAAGAAGCACCGGCCAACUACGUGCCAGCAGCCGCGGUAAUACGUAGGGUGCGAGCGUUGUCCGGAAUUACUGGGCGUAAAGAGCUUGUAGGCGGUCUGUCGCGUCUUCUGUGAAAACUCACAGCUCAACUGUGAGCUUGCAGGGGAUACGGGCAGACUAGAGUACUUCAGGGGAGACUGGAAUUCCUGGUGUAGCGGUGAAAUGCGCAGAUAUCAGGAGGAACACCGGUGGCGAAGGCGGGUCUCUGGGAAGUAACUGACGCUGAGAAGCGAAAGCGUGGGUAGCGAACAGGAUUAGAUACCCUGGUAGUCCACGCCGUAAACGGUGGGUACUAGGUGUGGGUUUCCUUCCACGGGAUCCGUGCCGUAGCUAACGCAUUAAGUACCCCGCCUGGGGAGUACGGCCGCAAGGCUAAAACUCA
rnacentral:rRNA from 1 species